UUGUGCAGUUGCAGUAGAUGUGGAAAUAGAGGAAAAUAGAAAAAGGCAUAUAUAUAAACCAGCCACAGAUACUUUGACUCUCUAAUCUGUCUCUCAUUAUAGUACAGAAAACCCUUUUCUCUUUCUCUAUCUGAAAAUCACUGCACCAUAAACACCAGGUUUUUGAAGCAACAUUUGUGAAAAUGGAAAAUGGGGUAGUAAUGGUAGAUAAUAAGAUUGCGGAAGAAAGAGUUGCCAAUGAGGAAGUGAAGGUGACGCUUGCUGGGGAUUCCGGUGAAACAGAAGAACCAGUAGAUGAGGUUUUUGAGGAGGCAAGUUCAACACUGGAGAAUUUGCAAGAACAGGCAGAAAAAUCUGGAGUGGAUGGCGGCAGUUCAGUUGAGGAUGCAAUUGGAAAUGUUGAGACAUUUGGCGAUACUGGUUCAGAGGUAGUUAAGGAGAACUUGAAUUUAGAACCUGAAGCAGAGACCUUUCAAGAGGCUAUUGAAACUCAGGAGAACGACGUUCCAAGUGAGGUUGGAACUCAGGAGGCUGUGGCAGAGUUGGUGGACCAGCAGAAAGGUGAGAGUGUUGGUGGUGGUGUGGUGUCAGAUAAGAUUGACGAGGGAGGGACUGAAAUGGGCAAAAACAAUGAUGAAUUGAAAGGUGGGAAGGAAGUACCUGAAAUCAGUGGUACUGGAGAAGCAGAAGUUCCGAGGGAUGAGGAAAAAAGAAAUCUCAAGUCUGAUUCAGGAAUGGAGAUGCCUGUAAAAGGAGAUACUGAUCAGGGAAAAGAGGAUACGGAAGUGAAAUGUGCCACAGCUGAUCUUGGUUCAGUAGACGGAGAUGAAGAUGAAAAGGUUUUUGCUGCUGUGGAGGUGGAGGAUAACAUGAAUGGAGAACUAAAAGAUUUAUUGAAUGCUAGAGACAUGAAGCUUAAUAGUGAGAUUGAUGAGCUGAAAGAUGGGCUGUCUGAGCCAGGGAAAUCUGUUGAAGAGACAGUUGCUUCUGCAGAUGAACUAAAAGAUUUAUUGAAUGCUAGGGACAUGAAGCUUAAUAGUGAGAUUGAUGAACUGAAAGAUAGGCUGUUUGAGCCAAGGAAAUCUGUUGAAGAGACAGUUGCUUCUGCUGAUAGAAACUUAUCCUCUUCAGAAAAGUUUGCAGAUGAGAGGAAUGAGAAGAUUGAGGCUGGUAAAGCUGAUAAGAUUGACAAGGCAGGUACUGAAAUGGGCGAAAAGACUGAUGAAUUGAAUGGUGGGAAGGAAGUACUUGAAAUCAAUGGUACUGGAGAAACAGAAGUUUCGAGGGAUGAUGAAAAAAGAAGUCUCAAGUCUGAUACAGUAAUUGAGAUGCCUGUAAAAGGAGAUACUGAUCAGGGACAAGAGUGUACAGAAGUAAAAGGGGCUACGGCUGGUCUGGAUUCAGUGCAUGGUGGAGAUGAAGAUGAAAUCAAUGGUACCGGAGAAACAGAAGUUCCAAGGGACGAGGAAAAAAGAAGUCUCAAGUCUGAUACAGUAAUUGAGAUGCCUGUUAAAGGAGAUACUGAUCAGGGACAAGAGCGUACAGAAGUAAAAGGGGCUACAGCUGGUCUUGAUUCAGUGGAUGGUGGAGAUGGAGAUGAAAAAGCAAAUAAGGCUUUUGCUGCUAAGGAGGUGGAGGAUAACAUGAAUGGAAAAGUAGAAGAUUUAUCAUAUGCUAGGGACAUGAAGCAUAAUGGUGAGAUUGAUGAACUGAAACAUACGCAAUCUGAGCCGAGUAAAUCUGUUGAAGGAACAGUUGCUUCUACAGUUGGAAACCUGUCCUCUUCAGAAAAGUUUACAGAUGAGAGGAAUGAGAAAAUUGAGUCGGGUAAAGCUGAUUUGAGGACAGAGGUUCAUGAUGGUUUUCAAUCUCGGCUCCCUGAUGAAAUGGUGGGUAAUAAAUGUCAAGAUAUUAAUUUUGUGAUUGAACAUUCUGAUGAUAACGCAGAGAAAAAUCAACAAGAUAAGCAAAGCACCCAAGUGACGAUAGAGCAGGAAGUGCAACAUGCUCCAGGAUCUUCAGUGUCUGCUAAAGCCGAAGAAUUUGGGAAAAAAGUGGACAUGGCUCAGGAGCCUAAGCCAAACAACUCUGUCACUAGAGAAUGUGAAAUUCUUCCUGCUCCAGCAUUGUCAUCAUCUGUUAAAUCUACUAACCCUGCUAUCUCUCCUCAUCCUGCUGGCCUUGGGCGCGCUGCUCCAUUAUUGGAACCUGCCGCCAGGGUGGUGCAGCAGCCUCGUGCAAAUGGAAGUGUCUCACAGGCACAGGCACAGGCACAGGCACAACAAAUUGAAGAUAUUGGCAAUGUGGAGGCUGAGGAGAAUGAUGAGACUCGUGAAAAGCUUCAGUUGAUUAGAGUUAAGUUUUUGAGGCUUGCAAAUAGGCUCGGGCAGACUCCCCAUAAUGUUGUUGUGGCACAGGUUUUGUACAGACUAGGAUUAGCUGAGCAGCUCCGGGGGAGAAAUGGGGGCCGGGUUGGUGCCUUCAGCUUUGACCGUGCAAGUGCUAUGGCUGAACAGCUUGAGGCAGCUGGAAAUGAACCCCUUGAUUUCUCCUGUACAAUUAUGGUCCUUGGGAAGACCGGAGUUGGUAAAAGUGCUACUAUUAAUUCAAUAUUUGAUGAAGUCAAGUUUGGCACCGAUGCUUUCCAGACUGGUACCAAAAAGGUUCAGGAUGUUGUGGGUACUGUGCAUGGUAUUAAAGUUCGUGUAAUUGACACACCAGGCCUUCUUCCUUCCUGGUCUGACCAAUGCCAGAACGAGAAGAUCCUUCACUCCGUUAAGCGUUUCAUUAAGAAAACACCUCCAGAUAUUGUGUUGUACCUUGAUAGGUUGGACAUGCAAACGAGGGAUUUUGGUGAUAUGCCCCUCUUGCGUACCAUAACUGAGGUCUUUGGUCCCUCUAUAUGGUUUAAUGCAAUUGUGGUUUUGACUCAUGCAGCUUCUGCUCCACCAGAUGGUCCUAAUGGUACUGCUUCUAGCUAUGACAUGUUUGUCACUCAACGUUCUCAUGUUGUACAGCAGGCUAUUCGUCAGGCAGCUGGGGAUAUGCGACUCAUGAAUCCUGUUUCAUUAGUGGAGAAUCACUCUGCAUGUAGAACCAAUAGGGCAGGCCAGAGAGUAUUGCCAAAUGGUCAGGUCUGGAAGCCUCAUUUGUUGUUGCUUUCGUUAGCAUCUAAAAUUCUGGCCGAGGCAAACACGCUUUUGAAGUUGCAAGAUACUCCCCCAGGAAAGCCUUUUGCUACUCGAGCAAGAACACCUCCUUUACCUUACCUUCUUUCAUCUCUUCUUCAAUCGAGACCGCAAGUUAAGCUUCCUGAAGAGCAGUAUGGUGAUGAGGAUGGAUUAGAUGAUGAUUUGGAUGAAUCCUCUGACUCCGAGGAUGAGCCAGAAUAUGAUGAGCUGCCACCUUUCAAGCGGUUGAGUAAAGCACAAAUAGCAAAGCUUAGUAAGGCUCAGAAAAAAGCAUAUUUUGAUGAGUUGGAAUAUAGAGAAAAACUUUUUAUGAAGAAGCAACUGAAGGAAGAGAAAAAGCAGCGAAAGAUGAUGAAGAAAAUGGCAUCUGCAGCCAAGGAUCUGCCAAGUGAGUAUGGUGAAAAUGCAGAAGAAGAAAGUAGUGGUGCUUCUUCUGUUCCAGUUCCAAUGCCAGAUUUGGCGUUGCCUGCUUCUUUUGAUUCUGAUAAUCCAACUCAUCGCUAUCGUUCCCUUGAUUCCUCCAACCCAUGGCUUGUUAGGCCAGUUCUAGAUACUCAUGGUUGGGAUCAUGAUGUUGGUUACGAAGGUAUUAAUGUCGAAAGACUGUUCGUUGCAGAAAAGAAAUUUCCUAUUUCAUUUUCUGGCCAGGUUACAAAGGACAAAAGGGAUGCCAAUGUCCAAAUGGAACUGGCCAGUUCUUUAAAGCACGGGGAAGGUAAAGCAACUUCAUUGGGUUUUGAUAUGCAGACUGUUGGAAAGGACUUAGCCUAUACACUGCGCAGCGAGACCAGGUUUAGUAAUCUGAAGAAGAAUAAGGCAAUGGCUGGCAUCUCAGUUACACUCUUAGGUGAUGCGCUAUCAGCUGGAGUGAAAUUUGAAGACAAACUGAUUGCUAAUAAGCAGUUCCAAGUAGUCAUGGCUGGGGGUGCUAUGACUGGACGUGGCGAUCUUGCUUAUGGGGGCAGCUUGGAAGCACAAUUGAGGGAUAAAGAUUACCCUCUGGGUCGCUCCUUAUCUACACUUGGCCUAUCUAUCAUGGAUUGGCAUGGAGAUCUUGCCAUUGGAUGCAAUAUACAGUCACAGGUGCCUGUUGGACGGUCUACGAAUCUAAUAGCUCGUGCCAAUCUGAAUAACAAAGGUGCUGGACAAGUCAGUUUACGAAUAAAUAGCUCUGAACAGCUUCAGCUUGCUUUGAUUGCUGUCCUUCCUUUACUGAAAAAACUAUUUGAAUAUUCACAUCAAGUGCAGUAUGGACAAUGAUGAGAAUUAGGUUGCUACGGAUAAUACAAAUUUUUAAAAAUGGCCAAGUCUCUGUGGUCUUUCAAGAGGUGACACCGCCUGAGCCAGUAUGAAGCAUAAGGCAGUGAUCAGGACGCCCUUAGUGCUGCAACCUGUGAGGUCCCUAUUCUUUGGGGGAUAACAACUGCAAUUGAAUGGUAAGGGGUCUCCUCUUCCUUGAAGGCCUUCCCAAAGGGUCAUAGCAGUCCCAUUUCUCUUGGCGGCCAGUGCAUAGAUAAGAGCAACCUUUGACUCAGGGUCAGUACUCUCCAGUAGCAUUUGUGUCUUCCUUUUCAACCCUCAGCUGCCAAGACUAAUGAGGUCCAGGUAAUUAGUUGGCCGUAAAAGCUGAGAGGAGCAUUGAUGAAAGGAGGUGUGAGCAAAAUGCAAACAUGUGAAAAGCCAGACACCAAGUUUUCCUGCUAACUUGACUUUAAAUCCUUUUAUUUUCAACUGCGUAACACAUGUCCUGAUGCGGUACUUUUCAUUUUUAAUAAUUGCUGGUAUGCCCGCAUGAGCGGGAGCUGAUUGGUGUGUUAAAAUUUUAGACCAGAAAGAGUCUGUUAUGAUUUGAUUAGAACAAUGCAUCAUAAUAAUAUACAUAAAACACAUCUGGGGAGCAACAUCCAGUUCAUAUCAAA